GCCCGGGUGGUGGAAUUUGGUAGACACAAGGGACUUAAAAUCCCUCGGUCAUUGCGGCCGUGCCGGUUCGAGUCCGGCCCCGGGUACAA
rnacentral:tRNA from 1 species